CGGAAUCCCAGCUCCACUUACCAGGCCGCGGCUACCCCGCCGUCCCCCCCGACUCCCGCCACCCCGCUCUCUCAGGCUCUUCAGGAUCCAAGUCCGUAGGCCCUUUAAGGGGUCUAGUUGCCGUUUGCGAGGCCCUGGGACUUUGGUCCCAGACAGCGGGGAUCCGGAUGGCUUCCGUGCGGAUCCGAGAGGCCAAGGAGGGAGACUGUGGAGAUAUCCUGAGGCUGAUUCGGGUGAAGACUGCAGGCCGCCCUGAGAGCAGAUGGCUUUGGAGACAAUCCUUUCUAUCACUGUUUGGUAGCAGAGAUUCUUCCAGCGCCCGGGAAGCUACUGGGUCAAGGGAUUGGUUCCAAAAUAAUCAAAAAGGUGGCUGAGGUGGCCUUGGAUAAGGGCUGCUCCCAAUUCCGCCUGGCCGUCCUGGACUGGAACCAGAGGGCCAUGGACUUGUACAAGGCCCUAGGAGCCCAAGAUCUGACGGAAGCUGAGGGCUGGCACUUCUUCUGCUUUCAAGGAGAGGCAACGAGAAAGUUGGCAGGAAAGUGACGCCAUCCCUAGGAGGAUCUCUGUCUUGAGUUUCUCCUUCCCCAUCAGCUGAAGCACUCUUCAGAGACUACGUCCACAGACACUGAUGCUGAGGCCUCCCUGGAGGAAGGAGGGUUAGGGGUGCCUAUCCUCAAGUAUUGGAAGAGCAGAAUUGAGGGAGAGACCUUUCUUCCUUGUUGAGGGUGAAAAAUAAAUAAGAAUUACAUGUCC
rnacentral:lncRNA from 1 species